CUCUUGGCCAGCCUUCUGAAAGGAAGAUUAAUCCAGGAUGGGAUCAUGAGUUCACAUGUCCGCAUGAUUAAAGGUAUUUUCCGGUAGACGAUGGGGAUGCGUUCCAUUAGAUAGUAGGCGGGGUAACGGCCCACCUAGUCAACGAUGGAUAGGGGUUCUGAGAGGAAGGUCCCCCACAUUGGAACUGAGACACGGUCCAAACUCCUACGGGAGGCAGCAGUGAGGAAUAUUGGUCAAUGGGCGAUGGCCUGAACCAGCCAAGUAGCGUGAAGGAUGACUGCCCUAUGGGUUGUAAACUUCUUUUAUAAAGGAAUAAAGUCGGGUAUGCAUACCCGUUU
rnacentral:rRNA from 1 species